CUUGUAAUAUGACCUAAUUAGAAUCCAUGAUCAUCACCUAUUUAAAGUUUAGCUUUAAUUAUUGCUGCGAUUAUAACUGCCUGCAAUGUAUCAUUUGCAUGUGAUGCGAAUGUGAGUGGGGUAGAUAGGUUUACAUGUGAUGCAAACUAAUAGACCAAUUCAAAUGAGACCUAAACUAAAACCUCCUCAAUCAAGUUGAGAGUGAACCAACAUGAGCGAGUCAUAUUAGAUUAAUUGAUCUAAUUGGUGUCUAGGAAAGCAUGAAAGGUGGUUACUUAAUUAGGACCUUACUCUCUGAGUAAGGAGAGCCUCCCACCUGCUUACCUAG
rnacentral:lncRNA from 1 species